UGUGUGCAAGCUUGGGGGACAGAUGCCUCCCCCUCCCCCAACUCCUCCCAGGGGGCUUCAGCCUUAAGGCGUAGAGUAGAGAAGCCUUAAGCUGCAGGUACCAAGUGACAGCAGAAGGCAGGGGAUCAAUCAGAGUAAGUGGGGGUAGGAAUCAUGGGGCCACCACCCUCGUGGACAUAGCACAGGUGUCUGUCAUCAGAGAAGGGGCUGGGAAGCUGACUGCAUGCUAAACUACAUGUGGGGACAUGGAUGCCAGCAGCACCAAGGGCUAAGGGACCCUCACCCCAGUACUCCGUGCAGGAUAGGGUGGCCCCUGGAGGCUGGCGAACUGUCCUGUGGGCCCCCUGAAGCUGCCACCACCUCUUCCCUAGGCAACCCCGGGCUUCCAACCUCACAGCCACUGCCUGCCUCCCGCUCAAAGCCAAAAGGUUCUGCAACCUACUUCUCAGGGUUCUUCCUCUGGAUCCUAAGCCUGAACGCUGUCAGGUCCCAAAGUGAGGAAUGACAAUCUAAGGCCGGACGUUCUGGAAGAUAGCACGGCAGUGGUGGCAGCGUUUGCAGGCUGAUUGCCUGGCCUUCCACUGGGAUCCAUCCGAGUCCUAAGCUGUGGGGUCAGUGCAGCAAGUCCCCUCAAGUGGCACAGGGAAUCUCUCAGCUCAAGUCAAGAGAUCCAGAAUAUAGUUAAAAUCUGGAAAGGACAUUUACCCUUACAGGUAGAAAUGCAACCCCAGGGGUUCAUGCACGUCGGGUGAGUGAUGCAUCAUACACUAUAGAACAAGUUAUGGGAUAAAACUUUUUCACAGUCUCCAAAGCCUCUCCAUGCUUACGUCAGAUUUUCUAGAG